rfam:Sphingobacterium sp. ACCC 05744 h2665, whole genome shotgun sequence.
CCCGCUGUUUCGUCAGCGGUAACCUACCGACACAUGCAUCACUGGUAACGGUGUUGUGUGAAGCUGUCGGGACAACGAACCCUUCCUGAAAAGGAGGAGCUGAAGCCGUGAGGUGGAGCAACGAUCCCCAGUAUCACGGGGUCUGGGUGC